AAAGGGAAACUUCGCAAAAAAAUCAAAAAUUCAUAUUAUGUCCAUUCUGUAUAAAAAUGAUCAAAUUUAUAAAUAUUAAAGUUUUAUUCCGCUAGAUAAGAGAUCACCAUCGAUUUUAAAUUUUGAGUAUCAGUUCUUUGCGUUCCGCCAUUUUGUUAUCUUGUCCAAAUAAAAAUCACGAUAUGUCUAUAAACCAUAAAGAAACAAAACUACAGUAACCGAUGUUGUCGUAAUUACGUGUCGAUAUCUUGUCAAUCGUACGGUUGUUUUAUCUGACUAACUAACUUGAUUCGGAAAAUGUUCUUAUAUUUUUAAUAACCAUAUAGUCUGUUAUUUUUAAACUGUUAAUAUUGGAAUUAGUUAAAAAGUCAAAGUUCAAAUCAUAAAUAAGAGUUCCGUAAAAAAUUGUUUUCGAAAAUCUAAUUCGUUCAUAAUUCUUUAAAGUAAUAUACUUUAUUCAAAUAAAUUAGGAUCUUCGCUCCACUGAUCACCCGCAUGGCUUAAGGUAUUACUCCCAAAGGUAUUGUGAGGGGUGUAAGGUGACACGACCAGGUAUUCAAGCGAUUUCCUGUCGGGCCUGCAAGUU
rnacentral:lncRNA from 1 species